rnacentral:lncRNA from 1 species
AUUUCCUCCUGCCUGCCUGUUUUCAGAACUGAACUGGGGCCGAAUGCAAUGGCUCCCACCCAUAAUCCCAGCAAUUUGGGAGGCCUAGGCAGGCGUAUCACUUGAGCCCAGGAGUUCAAGACCAGCCUGGCCAACAGGGUGAAACCCUAUGUCUAUAUAAAAAGAAAUUAAAAAAAAAAAAACUGAACUGGAACAGUCUUUUCCUGGGUCUUGAGCCUGCCGGCAUUCAGACUGGAACUCUACCAUCAGCUCUCCUAGGUCUGCAGUUUGCCAGCUGUAGAUCUAGAGUCUUGUAAGCCUCCAUAAUUGGUGUUCUAAAGCUCUCCAUUGCUGAAGAAAAGGAUUUCCACUCAAUGAAAUCAUGACGCAGAAGAUUAUGCAGUUUGAGUCUCAAGAUGUAAAAGGUCUGAAGAGACUGCAUAUAGGUAGGAACUAACUGAAAAAUAAGAAGAAGGCCUGUGCUAUGAUAUACGUUGAUACAGUGGCAGUCAGGUUAUUUCUUUUCCUUUGUUCCUUUGUUCCUUUGUGUGUGUGCCCUGAAUGAUACAACUUAUUUUCAAUAGAAAUAAAUCAUGCAUCUUCAAAUUGGAUGUGGCUAACUGGGUGUAGAGGGUUUUGGUCCAUGAGUAGCACACAGUCUAACAUCUGCUGUUACACUUUGUUUACUUAGAAUAUAAAUUAAAUUCC